rnacentral:rRNA from 1 species
UGGCGGCUGCUUACACAUGCAGUCGAACGAUGAACUCCAGCUUGCUGGGGGGAUUAGUGGCGAACGGGUGAGUAACACGUGAGUAACCUGCCCUUGACUCUGGGAUAAGCGUUGGAAACGACGUCUAAUACCGGAUACGACCAGCCUCGGCAUCGGGUGUUGGUGGAAAGAAUUUUGGUCAAGGAUGGACUCGCGGCCUAUCAGGUAGUUGGUGAGGUAAUGGCUCACCAAGCCUACGACGGGUAGCCGGCCUGAGAGGGUGACCGGCCACACUGGGACUGAGACACGGCCCAGACUCCUACGGGAGGCAGCAGUGGGGAAUAUUGCACAAUGGGCGAAAGCCUGAUGCAGCAACGCCGCGUGAGGGACGACGGCCUUCGGGUUGUAAACCUCUUUUAGCAGGGAAGAAGCGAAAGUGACGGUACCUGCAGAAAAAGCACCGGCUAACUACGUGCCAGCAGCCGCGGUAAU